rnacentral:rRNA from 1 species
AUUGAACGCUGGCGGCAUGCUUUACACAUGCAAGUCGAACGGUAACAGGUUAAGCUGACGAGUGGCGAACGGGUGAGUAAUGCAUCGGAACGUGCCCGAUCGUGGGGGAUAACGCAGCGAAAGCUGCGCUAAUACCGCAUACGAUCUGAGGAUGAAAGCGGGGGACCGUAAGGCCUCGCGCGAUCGGAGCGGCCGAUGUCAGAUUAGGUAGUUGGUGGGGUAAAGGCUCACCAAGCCAACGAUCUGUAGCUGGUCUGAGAGGACGACCAGCCACACUGGGACUGAGAAACGGCCCCGACUCCUACGGGGGGCAGCAGUGGGGAAUUUUGGACAAUGGGCGAAAGCCUGAUCCAGCAGUGCCGCGUGCAGGAAGAAGGCCUUCGGGUUGUAAACUGCUUUUGUACGGAGCGAAAAGGCCCUCUCUAAUACAGUGGGCUCAUGACGGUACCGUAAGAAUAAGCACCGGCUAACUACGUGCCAGCCGCCGCGGUAA